GGGAGAGGCGGAAUGGCAGCAGGGAGCAGGAAGAGAAGGUCAGAGGAGGCAGAGGCGGGUCCAGGGCUCCCUGGACUUGCAGCACGCCCAGAAACGUCACCUCCCAUCCCGCAGAUUUCCUCUUCAAGCUCUUGGUGAUCAGCAGCACUGGAAGCAGCAAGUCCUGCCUGCGGCACCACUUCAUUGAAAGCAUGUUUAGGAGAUUCUGGGAAUUUUCAGGGAUUUUGGGAAUUCUGGGCAGUUGGUGGAUUUUUGGGUGCAUCCAUUAGACCAAGACGCCCUUCUCAGAGAUGAAGAAGACACUGUUACAGUUCCUGAGCCGUGUUUGCGGAGGCCGUGUUUGCUGUUCUGUACCAACCGUACCUGCUGUGAAGGCUCGGGCACACCGCUCCUCCAUUGUGAGAGAACAACUGCAGUGCCCACGAGAUCUCUCCCUGUUCCUGGCAUGUUGCCUUUUGCCUCAAAAAAGAACUAUAAUAAUCACCAACAGAGAGGAGACUCUCUGAGAUCUCCCCGACGGACAAGGUGGAACUAUUGGCAUGCUACGAGGACUGUGAAGGUGGUCUACUGGUUUCCAGGGUCACAAGGACUCACGAUUGUAGUCGGUAGCUAUGACCCCCCUUUUCCUCUUUUCUCUCUCUCUUUCCCUUCUCUUCUAUCGCAUAUUGUUUGUAUCAGUAAAGAUACAAUUGA